AAAUCGUGCUUAAAGCGCUGGGUCGGCGUCGGGCGGUGGGGUGGAUUUCAGGCAGCCAGACGCCUUUGUGAGGAGUGGGGGACCUUAAUCGUGCCACUCCAAAGAUGGCAGCUUACCCGGAAAUGGCUUCCGCCACAAUCAAAGAUGGUGACGAAGGACGGAAGUCAUGUUUUUUUAUGCCACAUCAAAGAUGGCGGUUUGACACGCCGCUUAACGGCCUUCCAAAGAUGGCGGCAUCUUGCGCAUGCGCCUUAGGGAUGGGACAAAUGGCGGCCCGGAAGGAACAUGCUCCGUUCUUUCGGCUGCCUGAACGCGACGCCGGCGCCGACCCAGGUCUUUUAGCGCGAUUUUUCAUAACGUUUCCCGACGUGGGAAAACGGGUUGUGGGGUCAGGGGAGCCGGGAGCACCCGGCAGGAUGCAGCUCCUGUUUCCCAGGAGCAAUGUGGCACAGAUGCCAAUGAUGUGAAGAAGUUGGAUUUCACACAGUAGAGGCCGUGGUUUAUGCAGCAGAGAAGGAGCUGCUGAAUAUUAAAGGCAUCAACCAAAGCUGACAAAAUCCCAGUAAAGAUGUUCUGGCGCUUUAACCCAAGAUAUUCCACAGGUUUAUUUGUCCUGGCUGAAAGCACUGUGAAUUUGGAAGGUCUCCAAAGGGCAGUAAAGGUGAUUGGAGGUGUGACAUAACUUGUGAUGGGACAAGUCAAAAUGCACCAGGACAGGACUGAAGUGGAGGAUAUUUCUGUAAAACACACAAAAUGGAUGUUGGAGCUUUUUCUUGGAGCAGAAUUUCAGUUCUGUUCAGAGGACCAACUCGUGCACAGUCUGUGAAAUGUGCACAGAAUGAUACAGGCACCUCUCCACAAGGCAGGAAAUAUUAAUUACGGGGGGUUAACGAAUGGCAUGAGCUCUCCUGGCACUGCUCAGACGGGUUUUCCCUCAGGCUGAUGCAGCCAAACUGAUUCCCAGGGUUUCACCACAGCCACAGAACUCCGCCAACGACGGUCAGAGAGUAUCCCAAGCACCACUGAUUCCAAAGAGCUGGACAACCUGCAUCAAGGAGAAAUAGAAACAGGAUCCAUAAUGGACUUAUUUGGGGAAUUCCACUUGGGUCCAUGUGCUUCCUGGGCAGCAUUCCCAUGGGACCAUACCCUGUGUGUUUUCCUGGAUCCCGCUGGUGCAGCAGAAUCUCAGUGGCCACAGCUGGGAAUUCGGUGAAUUGGAAGCAGAGCUGAAGGGUUUGUCCACUAAGAGAAGUGGUGAUUAUAAACCAAAGCAAUGUGGUAUUCCACACCAGGGAUUUGGGAUUGGUGAUGGUCCCCAUCCAUAAUCUUUGUUCAUUUUCUUUUGGAUGCUGCAGCCUGGUGGGCUGGGGGAGCUGCUCCUUUCCAUUUCCAUUUAAUUUUCUGUAUUUCAUUAAUUCUCUGUGGAAAUCUGCUUUUAAUGAAAGGGCCCAGGAGGAUAUUGAUGUCGUCCCAGGUUCCUGGGAUCCACAGCUCUGUGUUCAGACCAAGGAUUGUUCUGGCUGGCAGAAGCUGCACCAAUCUCCCAGGAAUCUCAGUCUGGAUUUUCUUCUCCCAGUUCUCAGCUUGGGGGUGCAGUGCAGCCCUGCCCUGUGUAUCUCCUAGAAGAGUUUUGGUGUUAAAAAGGGUAUUUUGUAUUCUGUAGUACUUGUAACUUGAUAAAAAAGUAUAAAACUGUAUCAAUGUGGUUUUGAUUGGUUCAUUUGCAUUCGUUAAUUAAAGCAAAUAAC